rnacentral:rRNA from 1 species
UGCAAGUCGAGCGGCAGCGCGUCUAGUAUACUAGAUGGCGGCGAGCGGCGGACGGCUGAGUAACGCGUGGGAACGUGCCCCAAAGUGAGGAAUAACUGCCCGAAAGGGUAGCUAAUGCCGCAUAUGAUCUUCGGAUUAAAGUCUUCGGACGCUUUGGGAGCGGCCCGCGUCGGAUUAGGUUGUUGGUAGGGUAAUGGCCUACCAAGCCGACGAUCCGUAGCUGGUCUGAGAGGAUGAUCACCCAGACUGGAACUGAGACACGGUCCAGACUCCUACGGGAGGCAGCAGUGAGGAAUCUUCCACAAUGGGCGAAAGGCUGAUGGAGCAACGCCGCGUGAAGGAUGAAGGCCCUCGGGUUGUAAACUUCUUUUAUGAGUGAAGAAUAUGACGGUAACUCAUGAAUAAGCACCGGCUAACUACGUGCCAGCAGCCGCGGUCAUACGUAGGGUGCAAGCAUUAUCCGGAGUGACUGGGCGUAAAGAGUUGCGUACCCGGUUAGUAAAGCGAAUAGUGAAACCUGGUGGCUCAACCAUACAGACUAUUAUUCGAACUCACUAACUCGAGAAUGGUAGAGGUAACUGGAAUUUCUAGUGUAGGAGUGAAAUCCGUAGAUAUUAGAAGGAACACCAAUGGCGUAGGCAGGUUACUGGACCAUUUCUGACGCUAAGGCACGAGAGCGUGGGGCUCGAACCGGAUUAGA